rnacentral:rRNA from 1 species
CAGCAGUGGGGAAUUUUGGACAAUGGGGGCAACCCUGAUCCAGCCAUCCCGCGUGUGCGAUGAAGGCCUUCGGGUUGUAAAGCACUUUUGGCAGGAAAGAAACGGCGCCGGAUAAUACCUGGCGCAACUGACGGUACCUGCAGAAUAAGCACCGGCUAACUACGUGCCAGCAGCCGCGGUAAUACGUAGGGUGCAAGCGUUAAUCGGAAUUACUGGGCGUAAAGCGUGCGCAGGCGGUUCGGAAAGAAAGAUGUGAAAUCCCAGAGCUUAACUUUGGAACUGCAUUUUUAACUACCGAGCUAGAGUGUGUCAGAGGGGGGUAGAAUUCCACGUGUAGCAGUGAAAUGCGUAGAUAUGUGGAGGAAUACCGAUGGCGAAGGCAGCCCCCUGGGAUAACACUGACGCUCAUGCACGAAAGCGUGGGGAGCAAACAGGAUUAGA